AUUGAACGCUGGCGGCAGGCCUAACACAUGCAAGUCGAACGGUAGCACAGAGAGCUUGCUCUCGGGUGACGAGUGGCGGACGGGUGAGUAAUGUCUGGGAAACUGCCCGAUGGAGGGGGAUAACUACUGGAAACGGUAGCUAAUACCGCAUAACGUCUACGGACCAAAGUGGGGGACCUUCGGGCCUCACACCAUCGGAUGUGCCCAGAUGGGAUUAGCUAGUAGGUGGGGGAAUGGCUCACCUAGGCGACGAUACCUAGCUGGUCUGAGAGGGUAACCAGCCACACUGGAACUGAGACACGGUCCAGACUCCUACGGGAGGCAGCAGUGGGGAAUAUUGCACAAUGGGCGCAAGCCUGAUGCAGCCAUGCCGCGUGUAUGAAGAAGGCCUUCGGGUUGUAAAGUACUUUCAGCGGGGAGGAAGGGUUGCUGGUUAAUAACCAGCGACAUUGACGUUACCCGCAGAAGAAGCACCGGCUAACUCCGUGCCAGCCGCCGCAGUAA
rnacentral:rRNA from 1 species